CCUACGGGGGGCAGCAGUAGGGAAUAUUGGUCAAUGGGGGAAACCCUGACGCAGCAACGCCGCGUGGAGGAUGAAGGUUUUCGGAUUGUAAACUCCUUUUCUUAGAGAAGAUGAUGACGGUAUCUCACGAAUAAGCACCCGCUAACUCCGUGCCAGCAGCCGCGGUAAUACGGAGGGUGCGAGCGUUACUCGGAAUCACUGGGCGUAAAGGGCGCGUAGGCGGGAAAGCAAGUCAGAUGUGAAAUCCUAUGGCUUAACCAUAGAACUGCAUGUGAAACUGUUAUUCUAGAGUACGGGAGAGGUAGGUGGAAUUCUUGGUGUAGGGGUAAAAUCCGUAGAUAUCAAGAGGAAUACUCAUGGCGAAGGCGACCUGCUAGAACAUAACUGACGCUGAUGCGCGAAAGCGUGGGGAGCAAACAGGAUUAGAUACCCUGGUAGUC
rnacentral:rRNA from 1 species